CUCUCUCUGUGUAACUCUGACAUUCUAAUAAAUAAUUCUUUAAAAAAAUAAUUUGGGAGUAUUCCUUCCCUUUCAGUUGUUUUGAAUAGCUUGAGAAGAAUUGGAAUUAGUUCUUUAAAUGUGUGGUAAAUUCAGGAAUAAAACCAUCCGGUCCUGGGCUUUUCUUUGUUGAGAGGGUCUUUAUUAGUGAUUUCUGUCUUGGUUAUUGGUCUGUUUAGGUUUUCUAUGUAUUCACACCUCAAUUUAGGUAGGUUAUAUGGGUCCAGGAAUCUAUCCAUUUCUUCUGUGUUUCCCAGUUGGUUGGCAUAGAGCUCCUUGUAGUACUUUCUGAUGAUUCCUUUUAUUUCGAUGGUGUCUGUUGUUACAUUCCCUUUUUCAUCUUUCAUAUAAUUGAUUUGGGUCUUCACCCUCCUUUUUUUGAUUCAUUGGGCCAGUGGUGUUUCCAUUUUGUUUAUUUUUUAUUUUUUUGACAGAGUUAUAGACAGAGAGAAAGGUCUUCCUUCCAUUGGUUCACCCCCCAAAUGGCCGCUGCAGCUGGCACUGUGCUGAUCUGAAGCCAGGAGCCAGGUGCUUCUUCCUGGUCUCCCAUGCAGGUGCAGGGGCCCAAACACUUGGGUCAUCCUCCAUUGCUCUCCUGGGCCACAGCAGAGACCUGGACUGGAAGAGGAGCAAUUGGGACUAGAACCUGGCACCCAUAUGAGAUGUCGGCGCCACAGCGGAGGAUUAACCAAGUUUCAAAAAUCCAGCUCUUUAUCUCGUUGAUCUUUGGUAUUAUUUUUGUUUCACUUUUGUUUAUUUUCUAAUUUUAAUUUUUUUUCUCCUACUAGUUUUGGGUUUGGUCUGCUGUUAUUUUUGUGGGUCCUUGAGAUGCGCUGAUAGCUCAUUUAUUUGAUGCCUUUCCAAUUUCUUGAUGUAGACACCAGUUGUUAGAAACUUUCCUCUAACACUGCUUUUGCUGUAUCCCAUAAGUUUUGAUAUGUUAUAUUAUCAUCUUCAUUUGUUUACAAAAACUUUUUAAUUUCUUCCGUGACCCACUGUUCAUUCAGGAACAUGUUUAGUCUCCAUGUUUUUGCAUAUGUUCUAGAGAUUCCUGCAUUGUUGCUUUCUAGCUCCAUUCAAUUUGUGGUCAUAGAAGAUGCAUGGUAUGAUUUAGAUUUUUAUUGGAUUUGCUAAGACUUGCUUUAUGGCCUAACCUGUGGUCAAUCCUAGAGAAAGUUCUGUGCUCUGGUGAGAAGAAUGUGUAUUCUGCGGCUGUAGGAUGGAAAGUUCUGUAGAUAUGUUAGGUCCAUUUGGUCUAUAGUUUGGAUUAACUCUAUUGUUUCCUUGCUGAUUUUCUGUCUGGUCAAUCUGUCCAUUACUGAAAAAGGGGUACUGAAGUCCCCAAUUAUUAUUGUGCUGGAGUCCAUGUCUCCCUUUAGAUCCAGUAACAUUUUUUUAAAUAGCCAGGUGCCCUGUAAUUAGGUUCAUAUAUGUUUAUAAUAGUCACAUCUUCCUAUUGAGUCAAUCCCUUAAUCAUUACCUAGUGCCCUUUUGUCUCUUUUUACAGAUUUUGUGUUAAAAUCUAGUUUCUCUGAUAUUUGAGUGGCUAUACCAGCUUGUUUUUGGUUUCUGUUAGCUUAGAAUAUAUUUUUCCAUCCUUUCACUCUCAGUCUAUGGGUGUCUUUGUUGGUGAGAUGUGUUUCUUGUAGGUAGCAAACAGUUUUGUUUUUAAUCCAUUUUGCCUGUCUGUGUCUUUGAACUAAAAAUUUAAGGCCAUUUACAUUCAAGGUGACUAUUGAUAAGUGAUGGCUUGGCCCUGCCAUUUUUCCAUAACUAUUCCUGUAUUGUAUACUUUAGAUUUCCUCUGUACUUUUACUGGGAGAUUUUUCCACCUUCACCUUUUUGUAGUGAUGACCAUGUUUCUGUGUUUCUGUGUGCAGCACAUCUUUAAGCCCCUUUUAUAAGGCUAGAUGUGUGGUGACAAAUUCUUUCAAUUUCUGUUUGUUAUGGAAGAUCUUUAUAUCACCUUCAUUCCUGACUGAGAGCUUUGCAGGGUACAGUUUUCUGGUUUGACAACUUUUUUUUUUUCUCUUUAGACUUGGAAUAUAACUUGCUAUUCUCACCUAGCCUGUAGGGUUUCUGAUGAGAAUCAGCUGUGAGUCUCAUUGGAGAUCCCCUGCAAGUAACCAGCGUUUCUCUCAUGCACAUUUUAGAAUCUUUUCUUUAUGUUUUACUGUUGCGAGUUUGACUACAAUGUGGCAUGGUGAAGAUCUUUUCCUGUCAUGUCUACCAGGAGUUCUGUGUACUUCCUGUACUUGGGUGUCCCUUCCUUUCUCCAAAUUUAGGGAGUUUUCUGUAAUUAUUUCACUACAAAUGCCUUCUAAUCCAUUCUCUCUUUCCACACCUUUAGGAACACCUAAGAUUGUAUGAUGGGUCAUUUGAUAAUAUCCUGUAGAUUUCCAACAUUGUUUUCUAGUUUUUCUAAUUUCUUCUUUUUUUUCUGAUUCUAGAAUUUACAACAGUUCAUCUGCUAGCUCCAACAGUCUCUCUUCUGCUUCACCAAGUCUUCAUUUCCAAGAUUUCCUCAAGAUCUAAGUUUCGUGGGAGAAAUUUUCUUUCAUUGCCUAUGUUGAAAAAUACCUACUGGAGAAGUCCAGACUCGUUUACCAAGAGCAUAAUGAACGAUAACAAAGAAACCCCUCAGACAGAGCUGGGAUGAUUAUUGCUAUGACUCUGAGCCAGAGUUCCACCAACAGAACUGAAGGAAAACCUAGAGGAAGAAAUCCCUACAGAAAUAUUUCAAGAAGAAGCCAGAGUGGAGGAUGCGUGUUUGCACAGUGAAAGCCUUGAGCGUUCAGACAAGACAGAAUGACUGCUCAGAACCUGAGGGCGGCGAUGUUUCCAGAAAGGAGGAGAAAGUUUUCACAGACAUUGUCAGGACCCAGAAUUGCAUUAGCAUCUUGAUGGUGGCAUGAGAAGCUGGAACAUAGGGACCAGUCCCUUAAACCUUCCGAGAGCAUUGCAGCUGACCUGACAGGAUGAGUGAAGCCCAGCUUUGCGACUCAGGGGGGCUGGACACCCACACCCAAGGGUCCUCUCCCUGUGCUGCAGAUUGGGAACCAAGGCUGCAGGCCGGCCCUGAAGUGUCCACUGCACACAAGGGGAGUCUGGGACCCCUCACACAGCCCUGAGCUCUGCGGGCUCCUCCACCGGGGGCCCAUGCUCUGGCCGCAAGGGGAGUCCAGGAUUUCAACCUGGGAACAGCCUCACCACCUGUAGGUUACAUGAAGGGCAUCCUAGGUGACCGACGGUGAGAAACCACGUUGGGGAAAGUGGUGCUGAUGGAUCCGGGUGCUCAUUGCACUGUUAAGCAGAGUGCAGGUGAAGCACAGCUUGUAAAACAGGGCAGUCCAUUUCUGUCAUGAUGUGCAGGUAGGGGCACGCUUCUAAAGUCUGCAAGGAUCUACACCCAAAAAGUGUAUUUUGGGAUUUAGGGUGACUUUGUUUGAAAAAGCAACAAUUUUCCCACCCACUCGUUCUGUGCUCAGAUACCCACAAGAGCCACAUCUGGGCCAA